CCUACGGGAGGCAGCAGUGGGGAAUAUUGCACAAUGGGCGAAAGCCUGAUGCAGCGACGCCGCGUGAGGGAUGACGGCCUUCGGGUUGUAAACCUCUUUCAGCAGGGAAGAAGCGAAAGUGACGGUACCUGCAGAAGAAGCGCCGGCUAACUACGUGCCAGCAGCCGCGGUAAUACGUAGGGCGCAAGCGUUGUCCGGAAUUAUUGGGCGUAAAGAGCUCGUAGGCGGCUUGUCACGUCGGAUGUGAAAGCCCGGGGCUUAACCCCGGGUCUGCAUUCGAUACGGGCUAGCUAGAGUGUGGUAGGGGAGAUCGGAAUUCCUGGUGUAGCGGUGAAAUGCGCAGAUAUCAGGAGGAACACCGGUGGCGAAGGCGGAUUUCUGGGCCAUUACUGACGCUGAGGAGCGAAAGCGUGGGGAGCGAACAGGAUUAGAUACCCUGGUAGUCCACGCCGUAAACGUUGGGAACUAGGUGUUGGCGACAUUCCACGUCGUCGGUGCCGCAGCUAACGCAUUAAGUUCCCCGCCUGGGGAGUACGGCCGCAAGGCUAAAACUCAAAUGAAUUGACGG
rnacentral:rRNA from 1 species